AUGGCUGGCUACGGUCUGUCGCGCUCUGCAGGGUUCCUGAAUGUUGAGCCCCGCGCCGGCCUCGUGCAGCAGCCUCCUCACACUCGCCAGCAGGGCCUAGCCACAUGCACGAUGGAUUUGAGGACACCCGCCUGCCGUUUACUGUUAGAAAAGGAAUGAGCUCUGAAGACUACACAGGCUUCAUCCUGAUCCCUAUAUUGUGGGCUGCCCUCAGGGGCCCAGCCUAAGGUGGAACCUGCUAGAAGUGACCCAGGAUGCUUUGAUUGUACUUGCCCAAUCAUUCUGCUGUCAGGUGGAAGGCAAGCGCUUCUUCCUGCUUGCUAUGGUGGACUUAACUACUACAAAAGGUGAAGACUUUGUUUUUGCUGUGUCAACAGCUGCUAUGAACAAUAUCAGCUGGACUUGUGGCCCAGAAUGGACAGCAUCACUCAUUUGAGCUAUGCAAAGGAAGCUUGUCUCUCCCUAAAAUAAAUACAUAUUUUAUCUUGGUUUUCUCUGGAAGAUUCUAAUAAAAUACUUAAAC